UACGAAGGGGGCUAGCGUUGCUCGGAAUCACUGGGCGUAAAGAGCGCGCAGGCGGUCGUAUAAGUCGAAUGUGAAAGCCCCCGGCUCAACUGGGGAGGGUCAUUCGAUACUGUUCGACUCGAAGGCAGGAGAGGGAAGUGGAAUUCCGGGUGUAGUGGUGAAAUGCGUAGAUAUCCGGAGGAACACCAGUGGCGAAGGCGACUUUCUGGCCUGUUCUUGACGCUGAGGCGCGAAAGCUAGGGGAGCAAACGGG
rnacentral:rRNA from 1 species